AUCAUUCGCGCACAGCGCAGUCAAAGCAAAAAAGAAAAAAUGGCAAAAAGAAAAAAUGGCAAAAAC
rnacentral:ribozyme from 14 species